rnacentral:tRNA from 1 species
UCCCUGGUGGUCUGGUGGCUAAGACCCUGUCCUGUCAAUGCAGGGGACCCAGGUUCAAUCCCUGGCCAGGGAG